rnacentral:rRNA from 1 species
GCUUGCUUCUCUUGAGAGCGGCGGACGGGUGAGUAAUGCCUAGGAAUCUGCCUGGUAGUGGGGGAUAACGUUCGGAAACGAACGCUAAUACCGCAUACGUCCUACGGGAGAAAGCAGGGGACCUUCGGGCCUUGCGCUAUCAGAUGAGCCUAGGUCGGAUUAGCUAGUUGGUGAGGUAAUGGCUCACCAAGGCGACGAUCCGUAACUGGUCUGAGAGGAUGAUCAGUCACACUGGAACUGAGACACGGUCCAGACUCCUACGGGAGGCAGCAKUGGGGAAUAUUGGACAAUGGGCGAAAGCCUGAUCCAGCCAUGCCGCGUGUGUGAAGAAGGUCUUCGGAUUGUAAAGCACUUUAAGUUGGGAGGAAGGGCAUUAACCUAAUACGUUAGUGUUUUGACGUUACCGACAGAAUAAGCACCGGCUAACUCUGUGCCAGCAGCCGCGGUAAUACAGAGGGUGCAAGCGUUAAUCGGAAUUACUGGGCGUAAAGCGCGCGUAGGUGGUUUGUUAAGUUGGAUGUGAAAUCCCCGGGCUCAACCUGGGAACUGCAUUCAAAACUGACUGACUAGAGUAUGGUAGAGGGUGGUGGAAUUUCCUGUGUAGCGGUGAAAUGCGUAGAUAUAGGAAGGAACACCAGUGGCGAAGGCGACCACCUGGACUAAUACUGACACUGAGGUGCGAAAGCGUGGGGAGCAAACAGGAUUAGAUACCCUGGUAGUCCACGCCGUAAACGAUGUCAACUAGCCGUUGGAAGCCUUGAGCUUUUAGUGGCGCAGCUAACGCAUUAAGUUGACCGCCUGGGGAGUACGGCCGCAAGGUUAAAACUCAAAUGAAUUGACGGGGGCCCGCACAAGCGGUGGAGCAUGUGGUUUAAUUCGAAGCAACGCGAAGAACCUUMCCAGGCCUUGACAUCCAAUGAACUUUCUAGAGAUAGAUUGGUGCCUUCGGGAACAUUGAGACAGGUGCUGCAUGGCUGUCGUCAGCUCGYGUCGUGAGAUGUUGGGUUAAGUCCCGUAACGAGCGCAACCCUUGUCCUUAGUUACCAGCACGUAAUGGUGGGCACUCUAAGGAGACUGCCGGUGACAAACCGGAGGAAGGUGGGGWUGACGUCAAGUCAUCAUGGCCCUUACGGCCUGGGCUACACACGUGCUACAAUGGUCGGUACAGAGGGUUGCCAAGCCGCGAGGUGGAGCUAAUCCCAUAAAACCGAUCGUAGUCCGGAUCGCAGUCUGCAACUCGACUGCGUGAAGUCGGAAUCGCUAGUAAUCGCGAAUCAGAAUGUCGCGGUGAAUACGUUCCCGGGCCUUGUACACACCGCCCGUCACACCAUGGGAGUGGGUGCACCAGAAGUAGCUAGUCUAACC